AAAGCAGCGGCCGGCGGCGCGGGUUCCGCCCCCCGCGCUUCGCGGGCGCGCCGGCCCGGCGCGGCUGUUAUGGAAACGGGCCGGCCGCGCAGGCGGCGAUGAUGGGGCGGCCAUGGCCCGGGCGGGCAGCUCCGGCGGCGACGCGGCCGCGGGGGAGCGGGCCGGGGACGCGGGGCGGCCCGAGCCGUGGGAGCUGUCCCUGGAGGAGGUGCUGACGGCGUAUGAGCAGCCCAUCAACGAGGAGCAAGCCUGGGCCGUGUGCUUCCAGUGCUGCCGCGGGCUGCGGGGCGCGCCCGGCGGCCGGCGGCGCAUCCGGGACACCGCGGACAUCCUGCUGCGCAGGGACGGCUCGGUCAGCGCGCGGCGGGAGCCCGGCGCGGCGGAGCCCACAACCAUGGUGUCACCGGCCAGCUCGGAAGCCCAGGUGGUGCAGUCACUGGGCUUCGCCAUCUACCGUGCGCUGGACUGGGGGCUGGACGAGCACGAGGAGCGGGAGCUCAGCCCACAGCUGGAGCGGCUCAUCGACCUCAUGGCCAACAGCGACUGUGACGACAGUGGCGGCGGGGCGGCCGACGAGGGCUAUGGGGGCCCGGAGGAGGAGGAGGAGGCCGAGGGUGGCCCCCGCGCCGUGCGCACCUUCGCACAGGCCAUGCGCCUGUGCGCUGCACGCCUGACGGAGCCCCGGGGCGCCCAGGCCCACUACCAGGCCGUGUGCCGCGCGCUCUUCGUGGAGACGCUGGAGCUGCGGGCCUUCCUUGCCAGCGUCCGCGAGGCCAAGGAGAUGCUGCAGAAGCUUCGGGAAGAUGAGCCACAGUCAGAGAAGCCUCUGGUGGAGCUCGACAGCCUAGGGCGCACGGACUGGGCCCGGCUCUGGGUCCAGCUCAUGCGAGAGCUGCGCCACGGCGUCAAGCUGAAGAAGGUGCAGGAGCAGGAGUUCAACCCCCUCCCCACGGAGUUCCAGCUCACACCCUUUGAGAUGCUGAUGCAGGACAUCCGCGCCAGGAACUACAAGCUGCGCAAGGUCAUGGUCGAUGGGGACAUCCCUCCCCGGGUGAAGAAGGACGCCCACGAGCUCAUCCUGGACUUCAUCCGCUCCAGGCCGCCGCUGAAGCAGGUCUCCGAGAGAAGGCUGCGCCCCUUACCCCAGAAGCAGAGGACUCUGCACGAGAAGAUCCUGGAGGAGAUCAAGCAGGAACGCAGGCUGCGCCCCGUGGAGGGCAGGCACCGGGACGGCCGGGGCUUCGGCUCUCUGCCCUGCAUCCUCAACGCCUGCUCUGGGGAUGUCAAGUCCACCUCGUGCAUCAACCUCUCCGUCACGGACGCCGGGAGCAGCGCCCAGCGCCCGCGGCCCCGGGUUCUGCUCAAGGCGCCCACGUUGGCCGAGAUGGAGGAGAUGACCACGUCUGAGGAGGAAGAGUCUCCGUGUGGGGAGGUGACCCUGAAGCGAGACCGCUCUUUCUCCGAGCACGACCUGGUCCAGCUCCGGGGUGAAGUGACUUCUGGCCUGCAGCCAGCGACUCAGCACCCAGCAGGCUUGGAGCUGUCUCGGCCCCGCGCAGGCAGCAUGCACUCCUGGAGGCCAGGCGGCCAGGAGCCGGGUUCCUUCCCUGUCAGCGCCCAGACCCAGCCUGACCCCACCUCCCCGCCACGCAGUGACCUGAGCUCGGCCGAGGACAGGCCCAGCGCCUCCGCAGCCCCAGACACCACCCACCUGUGGCUGGUCACCGCGAAUCGGAACCACAGACACUGUCCAGCGCCCACUGGCCUCUGGUUCCCCGUGCCACCUCGUCUCGGGAGCCAACGUCAAUUCUGGACGCCGGGCAUCACGUCGUUGGUGGAGCUGAAACACCCUGCUUUCUGGAAGAGGGACUGGUGCUGUGAGAGGCCGAGCUCUAUGCCAGGAACACAGACCUGCUCCCUUGGGGGCAGAACAGGGUCCAUUCUCCAUGCCAGCCCAAGGGCCAGGAGGGUAUUUCGAGGUGGACAGAUGCAGACCACAGGCUGGAGUCCUGAGCUACCGUGGUCGGUUGGCACUGGGAGCGCGGCAGGGAGCCGGCAGUGGGCCUAGGGCUCUGGUUGGUUCUGACUGGCCUGGCGUGUUUGCAGGAGUUCAGCCACCCCGCCGAGAGCCUGGCCCUGACGGUGGAGGAGGUGAUGGACGUGCGCCGAGUGCUGGUGAAGGCCGAGAUGGAGCAGUUCGUGCCCAACAGGGAGCUCCUGAGCAGCCUGCGGAAGGGGAAGGUGUGCUGCUGCUGCCGAACCAAGUUCCCGCUGUUCUCCUGGCCGCCGACCUGUCUCUUUUGCAAGAGAGCUGUCUGCAGUUCCUGCAGCAUAAAGAUGAAGAUGCCUUCUAAGAAGUUCGCACACAUCCCCGUCUACACCCUGGGCUUUGAGAGCCCACAGAGGGCGUCAGCUGUCAGAGCCCCCCCACCCCUGCGAAGAGACGCCUUCCAGUCCCUGCAGGGGCCGCAGUGGCGGAGCGUGGAGGAGGAGUUCCCGCACAUCUACGCCCACGGCUGCGUCCUGAAGGAGGUCUGCAGAGACUGCACCAGCUUCGUGGCGGACGUGGUGCGCUCCAGCCGCAAGAGUGUGGACGCGCUCAACACGCCCCGCCGCGCCCGCCAGACCCAGUCCCUCUACAUCCCGAACACCUGGACGCUCGACCUCAAGUGAGGGUCUCCGGCCCCCGGGCCACCUGGCCAGAUGCUUCUCACGGUGCCCCCAGGUGGCCGUGCCGCCGGGGAGGGGCUGGGCUGGUCCUGGACCAGGCUGAGAAGUGCCUUUCCCGGGAAGACCCGCCGGGGCGCCCUGCGGAGCGAGCAUGUACAUAUAUACAUAGAUUCAUCCGCGGGACUCUUGCACUCACAGCCUCUAUAUUUAUACUCAUGAUUCCUGGCCCGAGUUCAUUGGGGUCAGGCUCACUGCAGGACCCUCCCUGGGGGAGGACGUUUCCUCUCAGGAUUCCUUGGGUGGGGCGGGAGCGGGGCGGGGCAGGUGGGGUACUGCCGCGGCUCAGGGAAGGCCUCUUCUCCCUCGGAUGAGAGCGGGGCAGUGUCCCGUCCCGGGUGAUGCUCGGCUGGGGUGGCUCCUUGGUCCCCUGUGCUUAGCAGGCCAGGGGCUGCAGAGGCACUGGGAAGCCGCGGAGGGGCCGAGAUGCUCCUGUUGGGCGUGUCACCCUCCGACUGGCAGGUCGACAGCCAAGCUCGCGUGCUGCCCCUGCCUGGCAUCCACAGCCUGGCCAUCUGCCCCAUAGCUGGUGUCGCCGGCCUCACGGAGGUGGCGGAAGGUGCUGGCCUGAGAGCCCUGCCAAUGCUCUGUGGUCCCAGUAGGGGAAGCCACUCUGUAAACUGUACAAACGGCCACUCGUGGCCUAAUAAAGGCGGUCUCAUGGUCUCCUGA